GAUGCAGCGACGCCGCGUGAGGGAUGACGGCCUUCGGGUUGUAAACCUCUUUCAGCAGGGAAGAAGCGAAAGUGACGGUACCUGCAGAAGAAGCGCCGGCUAACUACGUGCCAGCAGCCGCGGUAAUACGUAGGGCGCAAGCGUUGUCCGGAAUUAUUGGGCGUAAAGAGCUCGUAGGCGGCUUGUCACGUCGGGUGUGAAAGCCCGGGGCUUAACCCCGGGUCUGCAUUCGAUACGGGCAGGCUAGAGUGUGGUAGGGGAGAUCG
rnacentral:rRNA from 1 species